GCACCCGUGGUGGAAUUGGCAGACACGCAGGAUUUAGGUUCCUGUGCCGCGAGGCGUGGGGGUUCAAGUCCCUCCGGGAGCACCA
rnacentral:tRNA from 1 species